GAAUGCUAGAACUCCAGAAGGUUCAGGUGUUUUUGGGUCUCAUCAACUUGACAGUGGAGCAGAUAUUUAGCAACUGGAGGGAUACGCGGCAAGGAAUAUUGAUUUCUGUGGCAAAGGGAUUGAUUUCCGUCUCAAAUCAAUAUUCCGUCUCUAACCUGCAUUUGAUCACUCAGCACGAGGUUAUUGAGCUUCCUCGAAGAGAGACAAAGCUCAAGCUUUCUGGAGAUCGGAGGCAAAUCCCUAAAGCAUAGAGUCGUUGCCUAGUCAAUCCAAUUGAAUCCGAUCAUUUCAAGCUAGGAUUCCAAAGUUUGAACAUUUAAUCCGUCUUUGUAAAGUCUGAGGCAUUCAAAUAGAAAAGGGAAGAAGGGAAAUCAGUUUCAUCUCGAAUUUCAUAGAUUUUGAAGAAAUUUUAUAAGCAGUGUGAUCCUGGUCAGUGGUCACUAUUUCAGUCUCCUUUUCUAAAUUUUAUUCCCUGCUGAAUUACUAUUUGUUGCUGCACCCUUUUUGUAUAGAUAGAACUGCAGCAAACAAUGUUUUUGGAGAGACUCAUGACCAACUUUUGAUACGCUAACACCUUUUGUAUAUAUACACCUGGAACAACUAUUUUUUAGAAAAUGUUCCAUUCAGCAAUUGUAACCAAGUUGACCUUAAACUAAGAUAGCCUAUUUUUUGAAAACUACUAUAAUGGAAAAUGUUGCCAGUAGAAACUUUAAUUCAUCUUUUGUUUUAGAUGAUCUGCAGUGAUGAUAUUGUACUAUUUUGUCAUAUUGUACAAUUUUGUCUGAGAUCCUUGAUUUAUAAUGUAGCAAUGGUCUCAAGACAAUUGAAAACAAUUUUGUCGUCCUUUUAAGUUUAGUUCUAUUACAUCUAAUUCAUUGAUAAUGUUACAUCCCGCAGCAAAGCGCGGGGAUUACUUCCAGCGUCUUCUUAGUAAUCUCAUAUUCUGCCUCUUAUUUGAUCAUGUCUUCUAUUUUAUUCUUAUUCUGCCUAUUAAUCUUAUUUGAUUGUAUAUAUGUAUAUAAUACGUCCUGUGUUUUAAUUUAGAAUUUCCAGAUUUGCAUUUGGAAUCAAGGAGAGGGAGCCAAUUGUAGUUUGAAACAUUAGAUGCAGCAAGGUCAGAGAAGAAACUAAAGUGAUCUGUGUACAGCAACUACUCCAUAAGAAGACAUUGCUUUGUUGGAUGCAAAGUCCUUUCAAAAGGUUUGUUCUGCUUCAAGUUGUCAACAACCAAGUGAAUCAUGUAAUUUUCUCUCCUGUAAUUUUUUUCCCCCCUCCUUCCUUUGUUGGUUUAUGCAAUCUGGUCUUUGUACAUUAGUAGAUAGGAUAAUUGUACAAAUACUUCUGAUGCAUGACUUACUUCAUACAUACUUCUGAUGCUUGGAAUCGAAAAGGGAUACCACAUUGUUUGGUCUUUAUUGCGUGUAUUGAUUUUAUCUAUUAUUUUUGAAUUGAAUUUUACAAUAGACCAACUUUUUUAGACCCACUACUAUGAUAAGAUCAUCUUUUGUUUUAGAUGAUCAACAGUAAUGAAAACAAUUCUAUCAUUUAUAUCCUUUCCUUUUUAAGUUUAGGGAGUAAGAAAAAACAUUAUGGUUACGAUUCACAUCCCGCGGCAAAGCGCGGGCAUUGUUGCUAGUGGGAAACAAAAGGGUGACAAGCCCAAACCUACACUAUAUAUACCUGCAUCUCCACUCAUUCAAGACUGUAGGCAUCCGGUUCUGGCCAUAGGGGUAACCGGUUUCAGCUCUUUUUGUGUUUUGGAAAGCACAGCAUUCAAUGGAAUAUAUUCCAAUGAGGACAACAUGUUGAGAACAGAGAGCUUGUGCCAGUCCCUUUUG